rnacentral:rRNA from 1 species
GACAGAGGGUGCAAACGUUGUUCGGAAUUACUGGGCGUAAAGCGCGUGUAGGCGGCUCGGCAAGUCGGAUGUGAAAGCCCUGGGCUCAACCUAGGAAGUGCAUUCGAAACUGCAGAGCUUGAGUUCUGGAGAGGAAGGCGGAAUUCUCGGUGUAGAGGUGAAAUUCGUAGAUAUCGAGAGGAACACCUGUGGCGAAGGCGGCCUUCUGGACAGUGACUGACGCUGAGGAGCGAAAGCGUGGGGAGCGAACAGG